AUAACGUAGGAAAAAUUGUCGGCUACGGGACUCGUUCCCCCAACCUCCCAAAAAGCUUCCUCUCAUACUUCCCUUUGGAUCUCCCUCUUUCUCUCUCUACCAUCAUCGAAUUCAUCCUAAUUUUGGCUGUGCUUUAAUUUCGACCGAAUUAGGGUUUCACUUUUUUCAUUGUCUUGUUAUCUUCAUCAAAUUUCUGUUUAGUUGAAGUGAGAAGUAAGAAAGUGUGUUAAAGGAGGAAGAACAGAAUGAUUUACAGAAAGUGGAGUCUGCUGAGCAGCACUGGGGUGAUCGCUGGUGGCAUCGUCGGUGCGGUUUUCCUCGGCAAUCUCCUCUUUGUGAAUGAUCCUCUUAUGAAGCCUGCACCAAAGAAACAGAGUGAGUCUUCAUCAAAGUAGAUCUGUUUCGUAAGUGCUGUACCGGAAUCUUAUCUUCUCAUGUUUGUGAGUUAUAUCAUGUAUGUUUGGACGGAUGUAUUGAAUCUCAUCUAAAAAACUGGUUUUAUGGCUGAAUAAACUUUGCCUCGUUAUUAUGGGCAUCAUUUGGCAAGUAAUGCCUACAAAUUGGUUAAAGAAUGUGUCCUGUAAAAUUUUGUAUCUCCAGCUUGCCUGGUGGAAUUGAUACUGGAAUUUGAGGCACUGCCUCUGGUGAAUCCAUAAUUAAUGUUUGAUUGUCCAUCAGUUGGUGAUUGCCAGAUUUAUCAGUUUCUUCUGUAUCUUUCUUUUAUGAGUUCCUAAUUGCAGUAGAUAUUUUUAUCUGUUGGUAGGAGUAUUUAGCUAAGAUGAAUUUCUUCUUCUUUUAGGAUCAGCAGUUUAGUACUUAGAAAGAUUUACAUUCAUUGGAUACAACAUAAUAACGCAUGUUAAUGAGGAAUCAUGACCCUGGGGACAAAAUUUGAUGGCGUGAGGAUGCCCGGGAUAUGAAAGGUCUUGAAGAUUGUCAUACACUGCCUCCGUAUAGAAAGAAGGCCUAAUCAUAUUACGGAAGCCCAUGAAAGAAAGUCAACAGAAGUCAAAGAUUAAUUCAAUUCUUCAAGAGAUAGAAGUCAAGCAAAGACGAAGAAAUGGGCAGUUAAUAACAUGAUCAUGGGACGAUGCUACGUGAAUAUCAGUAACGUGCAUACUUCAGCGGCCAGAAAAACAGUAAUGAUCUUGAAUCAAAGAUGAUUCAAAUCAUUUCCCUCCAAAAGAUGCAUAGAAGUUAUGUAGCACAUAUUGGUGUAUAAAUACAAGGGAGAUGACCAAGCAAAAGACAACAAACACAACGAACAACUUGCAAUAACUUACUUUCUAGCGUAGUCUUAGCCUAGCCUAGCCGACCCCCUUAUGUGGUUAUAGUUUAGUUCUUAGAUUUAGAGCAUGUAUUAGUGACGAGUUUGUUCAUUUUCAGUUUUAGCAGGAACUCAUGGAAGUAAUCAUCUUUGUGUUUUCGCUUUAAUUGUCCAGCCUGGAUUAUCCUCAUAUGUGUUAUAAAAGUUUAUUCUAGAAGUUUGUGAUGUGAAUGAAAAUAUUUGGCUUUAAUUAAUAGAUUACUUAUUGCAUGUCUUGUUCGAUUUAAUGUUUUUCGUCUGAAUUUAUUAGACGUUGUAGUUUAACCAAUUAGAUUACAACAAAGUAUGUUAGCAAUGUUUUAUCAAAUUAGAACCGGUAAUCCUCAUGGACUAAAACUCAUGUGGCACUUAAUAUCAAAUUAUUGGAUAUGCAUCGACUUGUUUGCAAAGUCAACCAACUAAUUUUUUACACCAAUAGAUAUUUAUCCAUGAAACUAAUACCAAGCUUAUGUAGUAUUUUACUAGUUAACCAGCUAAUAUGCGAUCGAAUCAAGUCUGUCUUGUCUGCUCAAUGUCGAAUAUACACUCAACUGAAGGGGAAAAAGAAUCUCGACAGACGAAAUUGGAAAAUGACGACUCACCCCUAGUUGACUUUGUAUGAAAAGACUAUAAAUAGUCGAGAUGAUUGUAUAUAGAAAGCCAACCAAAAUAAAACUGCUCAAGUAUAAUAUACUUCUAAUUUCUAAAUAUUCUGCCAAACAAGCUAAGCUAAUUCAAUGGCAGGGCUCCAAUUCAAAUUUGAUGUGAAGCUAAUAAUUUUUGGGUUACUCUUAAUUUUCAUCUCAUCAGAUUUUGCAACGGCAAGGAUGGGUGAAGUGAGUAGACGAAUGAUCUUUGAAUGGCCGUGGGAAGGGUGCUUGGAGGAAGGUUGACCAUGCUCUGGCGUAGUUGACAGCGGAUGUUGUGAAGGACUGACAUGCGCCAACCAUAAUGUAUUAAAUUUCGGUACAUGUUGUAACCCUUCAAAGUCACCCGAGGAAGGGGGCUGCAUGUGGUUUUAGUCCACUAUGUGAGUCUGGAUCCUCUAGAGUUUUAUGAAAACUCUAAAAAGUAGAGUUGAAUCCUGACCAUAUAUUAUAAAAAUUAUGUAACCUUACAAAGUCACCCACGAUGUUGUUUCAAUUGAUCAUUUCAUUUUCUCGAUCUUCAAUGAAGCAGUAUGUUGUUUCAAUGAAGCACUAUGUUUUAUUUUGUUAAUGUUAUUUAUCUAAUUAUGUUUCUUU